UACGUAGGGUGCAAGCGUUGUCCGGAAUUAUUGGGCGUAAAGAGCUCGUAGGCGGUUCGUCACGUCGGCUGUGAAAUCCCGAGGCUCAACCUCGGGUCUGCAGUCGAUACGGGCGGACUGGAGUACUGCAGGGGAGACUGGAAUUCCUGGUGUAGCGGUGAAAUGCGCAGAUAUCAGGAGGAACACCGGUGGCGAAGGCGGGUCUCUGGGCAGUAACUGACGCUGAGGAGCGAAAGCGUGGGGAGCAAACAGG
rnacentral:rRNA from 1 species